GGAAGCAUUUUUAUGACUGGAUAAGGUGGUAACAUUUGAUAACACCACAUUUUCUUAUUUAUUUAAUUAUGUCCUGUCUUUCUCUUUCCACAGGACCCAAGGUGACCCAAGGGGCUGUGGCUAGCACAGCGGGUUAAACCACCAGCUAUAGAAGAUCUUGGCAGUUCAAGCUGCAGGUUGGGGUGAGCUCCCACUGUCAGCCCCAGCAUCUACUUACCUAGCAGUUCAACAACAAUCCUCUACUCUUCUAGCUUUUAAUACUGGCCUGGCACAGGAAUUUAUCAACUGAAGCUUUUUUCUAUAAGCAAACGAACCAGAGUGCUUUUGGAGACAAGCUUCACAGCAGGCAUCCUUUACUGCCAUCAGUGACAAAGAAAAUUGUAGUGCAUUUCCCCCCUUUGGAUUUUGACACGCUUCUGCCAUCUCUGAUCAAGAGCAAAAUUCUUUCAAGCCAAACACUAGGUUUAUCAUGCUGGCCACACAACCAGGAGACAACACAGCUCCUCUGCUUGGAAAUAAGAAGAGUACCUCCCUCAGAGCCAGAGAUGAGCACUGCCUCAAGAGCAGGAAAUAAAAAGAGAAGCCUUUGCCUUUGUCUGUGUAUGUAUGUCUCAUUGUAUUGCAACAAGGCAUUGAAUGUUUGCCUGUCUCUGUUUAUAUACUGUAAUAUGCUCUGAAUCCCUUCAGGGAUAAGGGUGGAAUAUAAAUAAAGUGUUGUUGUUGU